GAUGAACGCUGGCGGCGUGCUUAACACAUGCAAGUCGAACGGGAUCCAAGGGGUGCUUGCACUUUUUGGUGAGAGUGGCGAACGGGUGAGUAACACGUGAGUAACCUGUCCUUUUCUUUGGGAUAAGCAUUCGAAAGGGUGUUUAAUACCUUAUGUUCUGUCUGCCUCGCAUGGGGUGGGUGGGAAAGGCUUUGGCCGGAUUUGGGUGGGCUCGCGGUCUAUCAGCUUGUUGGUGGGGUGAUGGCUUACCAAGGCUUUGACGGGUAGCCGGCCUGAGAGGGUGGUCGGUCACAUUGGGACUGAGAUACGGCCCAGACUCCUGCGGGAGGCAGCAGUGGGGGAUAUUGCACAAUGGGCGAAAGCCUGAUGCAGCGACGCCGCGUGGGGGAUGAAGGCCUUCGGGUUGUAAACUUCUUUUGCUCUGAACAAGGCAUGCCAGUGGGCGUGUUGAGUGUAGGGGUUGAUUAGCGCCGGCUAACUACGUG
rnacentral:rRNA from 1 species